UUUUUUUAAAAUGUGCAUUGGUGUUUUGCCUGACAUGUUCAAAGACAUAUAUAUACAUGCAGGCUAUCAGACGCCUCAUACUUACAGGGAAAUGGUUCUUUUUUCCAUAACAUUUUGAAAGGACUUAAAGGGUGCCUUUCACUCAUACUCCCAAAAUGUAUUCAUUUAAUAACCAACCAUAUUUUAUAAAAUACAAAUCACUUUAAUUUUAUGAUUAAAUUCAAUUUUUACUAUAAACAUGAGUAAUACUAGUUACCAUGAAGUUUCUCUUAAAUGAUUAGCUUAAAAGCCAGUUUUAAGUACUAAUGAUAAUGAUCUCAGAAAAUAAUGGUGGAGCUGAUUAAUGCCUCGUUUGUCUUUAUAUGUUUAGGUCAUAGUGAUGGGAGCUACCAAUCGUCCUCAAGACCUUGACUCUGCUAUAAUGAGAAGAAUGCCCACAAGAUUUCAUAUUAACCAGCCUGUAGGUAGCCUUAAUUGAACUUUGAAGAGGGAAAUAAUUGCCUUCUGACUGGGUUUUUAUCCAUGACUUAAAAAGGAUUGUUUUGUCUUUUGGGUCUCUGAAAACGAAAGGUGUGAGAGCCUCCUGUAGGACUCUGGGCCUCCUGUUCCUCUCUUCUCUUCCCACCUUCCCCUCUGUCCCCUCCCCGGUCUCUUCCCCUUCUCUCCAUGUGCUCAGUGCUGGCCUCUCCUCCUCUCCUCCUCCUUUCUAUUUCUCUACUGCUCUCUUUCUUUCUCUGCCCUUCUACCCUCUUAACUCCCCUCCCCAUGCCCUGAAUAAACUCUAGUCUAUACUAAAAAAAAAAAAAAAAAAAAAGGAACUCCUGUAAGCUGUGUCCUCUCUGAUGCUUUUUCUUUUUUUCUUAUUUUUAUCCCAAGAUCAGUGCAUUUGCUCUUUCCCCAAGAAUAUAAUUACCUCAAACUUGCCUACAUGCUUUAGUAGUUUACCUUAGGAAGAUACAGAAGAAAAUCUGAAUUUAAGUUUUGGAUUAAGAGAGAAUUAACUUUGGGAACUAGAGGUUAAAGGAUCAUUGUUUUCUGAAUACCUAGCCUAGAACAACUGAGAUUUAUUAUUAACAAGUUAGUGGUUCCAGAACCAGUGUAUCACUCUGUGGCUAAUCCAGAACCAGUGUAUCACGCUGAGGCUAAUCCAGAACCAGUGUAUCACGCUGAGGCUAAUCCAGAACCAGUAUAUCACUCUGUGGCUAAUCCAGAACGAGUGUAUCACGCUGAGGCCAAUCCAGAACCAGUGUAUCACGCUGAGGCCAAUCCAGAACCAGUGUAUCACGCUGUGGCUAAUCCAGAACCAGUGUAUCACACUGAGGCCAAUCCAGAACCAGUGUAUUACGCUGAGGCCAAUGCUUUUCUGCCUCUUCUACUCCCAUUUGGAUUCUGAGAUAGUCCCGUUCUGGAGCCUGGAACUCUGUAGGUUGAAACCCACACAGAGCGAGCGCAGGCUGGAUUCAAACUCACAGCACCGCUUUCCAAAGGGCUGGUUUACAG
rnacentral:lncRNA from 1 species